CCGCUGGCGCCCGCACUUUCGGGGAGCCCCGGCCCCGGGGCGAGCGGCCUAACCCGCGGAGGGACGGCCGGGUGUCGGCCUCCGCGUUGGCCCUGUGUUCCGCUCGUGGCGAUCAGGCUGUGGCCCCUCUCGCGCUGCGGACCUCCGCACGGCCCUUCGAGAAGGGGGCACCGGCGCGUCCCCUCGGUCCACCAAGCCGUCCCGGACUGAUAACUCGAUGCCACAGGCACGCGGGCCGGUCAUGAGCCCAGAGCCCCCACCCCAUCUUCUCCUCGGACCGGGGACCCGCCAGAAGUCACCCACCCCGCCCGCGACUCCGCACAAAGGCCAGGAUUCCCCUGCUUUAUGACCCAGAGGCCUGGCCACUUGCAGCUGCCCAAAGGGCAAAGCCUGGCGUCCAAGAUGGAAUAUUCGAGAUAAGUGAGUGAGAGGGAGGGCUGGUCGUGAGGCCAGAGCUCCCUGGGCUCUGGAAGGAGGCAGGCCACUAGCUGACUGCAGGGUCCGCUGACUCGCCCUGAACUCCUUCCUGAGCCACGCCCUGGGUGGGGGCUGCCUUGUCAGCAGCUGGCCUCCCGCGACAGCGACACUGCUUCAAGGACUUGAAGAGCCAAUCUUCGGAUGAAGUGAUGUGGAUCCUGGCUCAGCUCAGGACGUGCUGGGCCACCCUGGGCAAGUCACAGCGCCUCCGCAGCCACUCAGCCCUGGGGGUGGGGGGAGAUCUUGGAGAGGCCACCCACUCUGGACUCUCCUGGUGGAAUUCUGGACCUGUGCUCACUGCCCCACGGCCCCGCCCCUUUCCAUCGGGCGCCUCCCCCUCCCCACUGCGAAUGCGGAGAAUCCCCCAGGCCUUCUGCAGAGGUAACUAACUGCCUAGCAAGAAAAGGACUUCUGUCCUCGCCGCCCUUUAUGGCCUUCCUGCCUGGGCAGAGACCCAGAGCCCCCACGCAGACGGUCAUCUGCUGCCCCCUGGUGGGUCCAGUGGGCACUGCCCCCUGGAUGGGGGUGAUCUCGGGUUUAGCAUGGAGAAUGGUCUAGUCGGGAGACCCAGACCUUGCUGCUGCGCGGUCCUGAGCCAGUCACAGCCCUUCUGCAUUCCCAAUUGCCUAUUGGGACACCAGGGACAUGUGUAUCUCGCAGAGUCCUUGGAGUCUGCAGGCGGGCUGGACAUGAAUGAGUGAAUGACUAAAUGAGGGGAAACUUGGCAGAGACUGUCUCCCGGACACUGAUGCGGGUGGGCAGAGCAGGGCCAGACUGUCCCAGCUCAAAGCGUGUGUCAGAGGGAGGGAUGCCUGCCUGCGGCACACCUCCAGGGGGUGCAGCUCCCUUGGCAUUCUAGGGACACGCACCCUGGAGGUGAGCUCACAGACCACAAGGGCAUGUUACCCUUGAGGCUGCGCCUCAGCCCGGCCGCCUUUAGCACAGUCACUGAUGGCCAUUUUCUUUAGCAUCUUCUGCACUAAGUGCCAGGGCCAUCCACAGGAGCAGCGGGGAGCCGGGCCCCCCCGUCCAGGGGGCCGGGAGUGCCAAUACCAGCUAUACACCCCCAAGUAGGAAAGGAGGGUCACAGCCCCCUGUCCCUGCCUCAGCUGCACACCGUCGCCCCCUUCAGGCCGCCAUCGGCCGCCAGCAAGGACCCAGUGAACCUUAGGUGACACCCUGCCCCUCUCAUCCGAAGAGGGGGCCCUUAGGCUUGCACUCACUAGAGGUAAAAACUAAUUCCUUCCCUAGAAAGUCGGUCAUGACGUGCUCCUGGGUGACUUGUUUCCUGCGGCUCCCCAGCCACGCACAGCAGGCUCCCACCCCAGGGCCUUCACACCUGCCUCUCUGCCUGGGACUCUUGCGCACACAGCUGCCUGGCUCACACCCUCACAGCCUCUGCUGACCCUGCGCCCCACACCCGAGUCACUUUCCUCUGCGCCAGCUGAGCCGCCACCGCGUGAGCUGCCCAGUCUCAUCUCUAGACUGUCCGCUCUGUGGCCGCAGGGGACCAUCUUGUCCUGUCCCCAGUUCACGCCCAGCACUGCAGACUGCGCUCGGCCUGAAGGUGGUCCGAAAAUACGAACUGAAUGAAACACCAAAUGAAUAAACGAACAACUUGGCAAAACA